UCCAGGUCAGAGAGCAGGGACAGCAGCCCAUUGAACCCACUGGAGACUCUGAAAGCAGCACGGCCUUUGGGGGUCUCCAGGAUCCGGAGCAGAGACUGAAACCAAUGAGAUACAAGUGCGUGAGAUGGAGGAGGCAGAUCUUUAACGCUGAGCUCCCACCCAUCCCUGCCAAAGCGUUCCGGGUGCUCUUCUGCGCUCCACUCCGUGGGAACAGCGAGCUACCGAUGCGCGACUCUGAGACAUUGGGAGGGAACCAGGGAAUGACCUGCAUUGCCUCAUCAGGGCACAGUGCCAAGUGCUGUCAGGCACCCGGAGACACCCAGUGACCCACCAGAAGCCUCGUGAUGGAACUUGAAGCCUUCCAGCUGCGGAGGAAAGACAAAGAAGAGGUAAAGACACUGGAGGAGCAGGGCUGGGAGCCCAGAUUCAGCAACUCUGCCCAGCGUCUCCUGCAAGGGAAGAGCAGACGUGACCCAGGGCCGCAGGGCCAGGCAGAGCACGGCUCCAGACCCAGAC